AACAAACGCUGGCGGCGUGCCUAAUACAUGCAAGUCGAACGGGGAAAGCUUUCGGGUGAGUACUAGUGGCGCACGGGUGAGUAACGCGUGGAUAAUCUGCCUUAGAGUGGGGGAUAACUAGUCGAAAGAUUAGCUAAUACCGCAUAAGACCACAAGAACUGCGGUUCAAGAGGUCAAAGGUUUUUCGCUCUAAGAUGAGUCCGCGUAAGAUUAGCUAGUUGGUGAGGUAACGGCUCACCAAGGCAACGAUCUUUAACUGGUCUGAGAGGAUGAUACGUCACACUGGAACUGAGACACGGUCCAGACUCCUACGGGAGGCAGCAGUAGGGAAUAUUGCACAAUGGAGGAAACUCUGAUGCAGCGACGCCGCGUGAGUGAUGAAGGCCUUCGGGUCGUAAAGCUCUGUCGCAGGGGAAUAACACAAUGAAUGUACCCUGUAAGAAAGGAUCGGCUAACUUCGUGCCAGCCGCCGCGGUAAAAC
rnacentral:rRNA from 1 species